rnacentral:rRNA from 1 species
UGAGAGGAUGACCAGCCACACUGGAACUGAGACACGGUCCGACUCCUACGGGAGGCAGCAGUGGGGAAUAUUGCACAAAAGGGCGCAAGCCUGAUGCAGCCAUGCCGCGUGUAUGAAGAAGGCCUCGGGUUGUAAAGUACUUUCAGCGGGGAGGAAGGUGUUGUGGUUAAUAACCACAGCAAUUGACGUUACCCGCAGAAGAAGCACCGGCUAAAUCCGUGCCAGCAGCCGCGGUAAUACGGAGGGUGCAAGCGUUAAUCGGAAUUACUGGGCGUAAAGCGCACGCAGGCGGUUGUCAAGUUUGGAUGUGAAAUCCCCGGGCUCAACCUGGGAACUGCAUUCGAAACUGGCAGGCUAGAGUCUUGUAGAGGGGGUAGAAUUCCAGGUGUAGCGGUGAAAUGCGUAGAGAUCUGGAGGAAUACCGGUGGCGAAGGCGGCCCCCCUGGACAAAGACUGACGCUCAGGUGCGAAAGCGGGGGAGCAAACAGGAUUAGAUACCCUGGUAGUCCACGCCGUAAACGAUGUCGACUUGGAGGUUUGCCCUUGAAGGCGUGGCUUCCGGAGCUAACGCGUUAAGUCACCGCCUGGGAGUACGCCGCAAGGUUAAAACUCAAUGAAUUGANGGGGGCCCGCACAAGCGUGGGAGCAUGGGUUUAAUUCAUGCAACGCGAAGAACCUUACCUACUUAUG